UUUACAUGAUGCCACUGCCGUGGUUAGUAUUCCUUGCUUUUCCUUGUGUUUUCGGCAUAGGAUUUUGAACUUAAUUGGUUCUAGUCACUUGAAUGCAUGCUAAAUUUUAAAUUUUCUUAUGCUUGUUUGAUAGCUAAUCAAACUAAUGUGUCUGUGUUAUUUGCUGCUUUUAUUUAUUUGGUGCUCUUGCAUAUAAUGGUUUAAAGAUUCUUUUUUUCCUAUUGAACAUGUUGAGUUCAUGCGGCGAACCACCUUGGGGGCCAAGAACGUCAGUAACUAAUAGAAGAUGUGUCAGACAUACGAUACUGUUGCUUUAAUAGAAGUGUUUAUUCAGUUAUUGUGUGUUUAACUGUUGAUCUAAUUUUUUUGGCAUUCAUAUUUGUAAUUAAAAUAGGCUGGGUCGGGUAUUGGUGGAA
rnacentral:misc_RNA from 1 species